rnacentral:rRNA from 1 species
CUGACACUGAGAAGCGAAAGCAUGGGUAGCGAACAGGAUUAGAUACCCUGGUAGUCCAUGCCGUAAACGUUGGGCACUAGGUGUGGGGGACAUUCCACGUUUUCCGCGCCGUAGCUAACGCAUUAAGUGCCCCGCCUGGGGAGUACGGCCGCAAGGCUAAAACUCAAAGGAAUUGACGGGGGCCCGCACAAGCGGCGGAGCAUGCUGAUUAAUUCGAUGCAACGCGAAGAACCUUACCAAGGCUUGACAUGCACUGGACGGCUGCAGAGAUGUGGCUUUCUUUGGACUGGUGCACAGGUGGUGCAUGGUUGUCGUCAGCUCGUGUCGUGAGAUGUUGGGUUAAGUCCCGCAACGAGCGCAACCCUUGUUCUAUGUUGCCAGCACGUGAUGGUGGGGACUCAUAGGAGACUGCCGGGGUCAACUCGGAGGAAGGUGGGGACGACGUCAAAUCAUCAUGCCCCUUAUGUCUUGGGCUUCAAGCAUGCUACAAUGGUCGGUACAAUGGGUUGCGAAACU